GAUGAACGCUAGCGGCAGGCUUAAUACAUGCAAGUCGUGGGGCAGCAGGUUUGUAGCAAUACAGAUGCUGGCGACCGGCAAACGGGUGCGGAACACGUACAGAACCUUCCUUUGAGCGGGGAAUAGCCCAGAGAAAUUUGGAUUAAUACCCCAUAGUAUAAUGAAGUGGCAUCACUUUAUUAUUAAAGAUUUAUCACUCGAAGAUGGCUGUGCGGCUGAUUAGGUAGUUGGCGGGGCAAAGGCCCACCAAGCCUGCGAUCAGUAACUGGUGUGAGAGCACGACCAGUCACACGGGCACUGAGACACGGGCCCGACUCCUACGGGAGGCAGCAGUAAGGAAUAUUGGUCAAUGGAGGCAACUCUGAACCAGCCAUGCCGCGUGGAGGAUGAAGGUCCUCUGGAUUGUAAAACUUCUUUUAUAUGGGACGAAAAAAAGGCUUUUCUAAGUCGUCUGACGGUACCAUAUGAAUAAGCACCGGCUAAACUCCGUGCCAG
rnacentral:rRNA from 1 species